CAUGCAAGUCGAGCGAUCACCAGCAAUGGUGGGAGCGGCGAACGGCGUAGUAAUGUGUAGGAACGUACCCUCUGGUCGGGGAUAGCUACGGGAAACUGUAGGUAAUACCCGAUGAACUCUGCGGGGCAAAGGUGUGAUUCCGCCGGAGGAGCGGCCUACAUGAUAUUAGCUUGUUGGUGGGGUAAUUGCUUACCAAGGCGAUGAUGUCUAGGGGGUGUGAGAGCAUGGCCCCCACGACCGGAACUGAGAUACUGUCCGGACACCUACGGGUGGCUGCAGUCGAGAAUCUUCCGCAAUGGACGAAAGUCUGACGGAGCGAUGCCGCGUGCGGGAUGAAGGCCCUUGGGUUGUAAACCGCUGUCAGGGGGGGUGAAAUCUCCGAAGGUUCUCCUUCGGAGUUGACAGAGCCCCAGAGGAAGCACGGGCUAAGUAUGUGCCAGCAGCCGCGGUAAUACAUACUGUGCGAACGUUAUUCGGAAUCACUGGGCUUAAAGGGUGCGUAGGCGGCGAUUCAAGUCAGAUGUGAAAUGCCUGAGCUCAACUGAGGCAUUGCGUUUGAAACUGGGUUGCUUGAGUGUCCCAGGGGUGUGCGGAACUGCCAGUGGAGCGGUGAAAUGUAUUGAUAUUGGCAGGAACACCGGAGGCGAAAGCGGCACACUGGGGGAUAACUGACGCUGAUGCACGAAAGCUAAGGGAGCGAACGGGAUUAGAUACCCCGGUAGUCUUAGCUGUAAACGAUGAGCACUAGACUGUGGGGACCUACACAUCCUCUCGGUCGUAGCGAAAGUGUUAAGUGCUC
rnacentral:rRNA from 1 species